ACGGGUCCCAUCGAUUAGGGAUGUAAUCUGAUGGCUGGGACCACAAAAAAGGGCCUUCUUCUGUGGUGGCCACUUCUCUAUGGAACAUCAUUCCCCCUGCAAUAUGAUUUGUUGCAGGAUCCAAUUUGGGUCCAUCACUGGGACCAGAGGUUUAGCUUUCAAAUUCUUAAAUAAAUAAAAUACAGAAGAGGAGAAAGAGGAGCCAUGUUAUGAAAAGAGCGUUGCAGAAAUGGAAAUAGUUCAAAAGGGUAGGAGAGAUAUGGACGAUCAAGAGGAUAACAAUACAGGGGGAUGACGACUGACAUCGCGACUCAAAACAACGCUGAAACUUAAACUGUGGAUGCCAUCUACAGGUGAAUGGAACUAUACCAUACCUCUACAAGCCUGCAAAUGUUUGAUAAGAGAAAUAAACAACAUCCAUCUGGA